GUGCGGGCGGUGCCCUCCUUCCCUCUGGGCUCCUUUGGGACGGAUGCGGUCGGCCCCAUCUUUGCGCUUUACGCAACAGGUCACAACAUGGUUGUUGGGAAAAUGGGAUGGUUGCCAGAACACCGGACUGUGAUGGGUGCCAUACUGUAUUGCACUUCGAGUGGUGGAAUACAACUUGGGUUUCCUCAGGGCUGAUUAACACGGUUCAAACUGGACCAUACAGCUGCUUAACAUCCUAGCUGUUUGAUUCAUGGUAAUGGUUAAUGGUCUCCUGGGGCAAGUGGAAGAGCCUCAUGCUGAAUCUUUGUGGAUAUUGUGGAACAUGCUGCUGAGACCCAUUUGGAUUACAUCGCCAUCUGACACCAAGAUUCUGCAGCUGAUGAAAGGAGUUUACCAGAUCUUUUUAUGUGGUUGCUGAAGCAUUGUCCUGGGACAGCAGUAGUGACAGAUGGAUGAACAGAACACACUUCAGGCUUGAGUCACAGAGAAACCUGAGGAUUUACACUUCUGAAGUAGGUGUGAAUGAGAUUGAAGGGAUUACAUGGAGGAUUCUGAACUCCCCUUCUUCCUGCUCCGGGAAAGACGGAGGCCUGCUCUGACACCACCUUUGGUUAUGAUCCACAUGUGCUACUGAAGCUGGCUAGAAUGGUGUGACACACGGAGUAAUCUCAUGAAGCAAGGGCAGUGUGCUCUCAUUGCUGCUCAUCAUGGCCUUGCAGGGGGAAAAGGAGCCUGGCAGACCUCUGUGUGGCAUAAAGCUGCACCGUUUGGAAGAAGCAAGACCGUCUUUCCUCCCAGCUACGCUGCUGCACCGCUUUCGACAGAACCUGCCUUUCCCUCCAUUUACCUGGGCAGCUGCUGCUCUUUCUGCUGCUGCUGGGGCUGCUGCAGUCUGGCUGCCUGCGCUUCGCCCUGGCUUGGCUGGCUCGAAACUCUCUCGUCUGCACAGUGCUAAGGAAGAAGAGCGAUGGAGCCGCGGAUUUUUUAUUUUCAUUUGUUCUGGAAGCCAAGGGUUGCAAUAUGUGAUGAUUUUGGGGUUUUCUGUGGCGGGGGGGAGGGAGGAGAAAGGAAGGGUGUUAAUCUAGGAUAGGGUGGGUGAAAGCUUAAAGAAAUAUUAUGUCAAGUAAUCCAGUGCUCGACAAGGGCAUCAGCAAGAAGACUCCAGCCUCAGCUGCUCCAGAGGAUUAACAUGGGGAAGUCACAGUGCUGCAGUCGGGUUUCACCUCAGUGUUGUGCUGGAGAUGGAUAAAUAAGGUAUCGGUUGCAUCUGCCUGUUAAGGCAAAGCCAAGGGAGAAGGAGAGAGCGAGCGAAUGCAAAUGCAAGGGAAGAAGAAAUGCUACGUGCCGUUUGUCCGAUUCUGUGGAUUCUCACUGCAGAGAGGACGGCUUGAUUAACAAAGCGACGUACGGACAGAGGGACUGUAAAUUGUAGCUUGAGCACUCCUGGUGUUGUCAGGGAGUGAACUGAUGAGUUAGGUGGCUGCAGGAAUAUCCCCUGGGAAAACAGCAGCCUCGCACUCUGUGUGUAUAUCUGUGUAUGUACGUGCUUUUGUGUGUGUGUGAACAUGUACAGAAAUGAAAGAAGGACAUUUCUGACCAAUUUACAGAGGACGUUUGUCAGUUUGCUGGGUCAGACUUGAUUGCAGCUUGUAUUUUCAGCUCUAGCUCUACACCCAUUUCCUGACUGAGGUGGCACUUUGUGAAAACAGAUGGUAGGCAGUAUUCUUUUAAGAAAUGUGAAAGCAGAUCCUUUCCGCUUAACACCUUGAAGCACUGAGUCUUCUGCACUGUGCUGAGAUAAACCGUGGGGUUUCGUUUUCUCCGUCUUAAAAUCUCUAUAAACACAGCUGUAUUCAGUAUGGUGAAAAAUUCUAUACUGUAAAUAGAAAUGUGAUCAAACUAAUCAAAAUAAAUGCAUCCCAGAUGACUUCUAGACCAGCUGGCUACCACAGUCAUCAGAUGACUAAAUCCUCAACUGAGCAUUUGUAUUCAGUGUUAUACUUGCA